rnacentral:snRNA from 1 species
AGUUUUGCGCAGAGGCGAUAACGUGACCAAUGAGGCUCUGCCGAGGUGCGUUUAUUAUUGGUUAAAUAAAUCACAGCAACUCCCAAAAAUCACAGCGCUCAGCUGGUCUGUCACGCAGGUGGCGCGGCGCGGCCUCGUUUUCUGCGAUGCAAUAACACGACCAUCAUUUUAACCAGAGAUUAACGCAGAAUUUCGGAAAAUUCUGAAAUCUCAGUUACCUGU